AUUCCACGGGUUCCGUGUCGGAGCUAACGCGUUAAGCAUCCCGCCUGGGGAGUACGGCCGCAAGGCUAAAACUCAAAGAAAUUGACGGGGGCCCGCACAAGCGGCGGAGCAUGCGGAUUAAUUCGAUGCAACGCGAAGAACCUUACCUGGGCUUGACAUGUUCCCGACAGCCCCAGAGAUGGGGCCUCCUUCGGGGCGGGUUCACAGGUGGUGCAUGGUCGUCGUCAGCUCGUGUCGUGAGAUGUUGGGUUAAGUCCCGCAACGAGCGCAACCCUCGCCCCGUGUUGCCAGCACAUGAUGGUGGGAACUCACGGGAGACCGCCGGGGUUAACUCGGAGGAAGGUGGGGAUGACGUCAGAUCAUCAUGCCCCUUACGUCCAGGGCUUCACGCAUGCUACAAUGGCCGGUACAACGGGAUGCGACAUGGCGACAUGGAGCGGAUCCCUGAAAACCGGUCUCAGUUCGGAUUGGAGUCUGCAACCCGACUCCAUGAAGGCGGAGUCGCUAGUAAUCGCGAAUCAGCAACGUCGCGGUGAAUGCGUUCCCGGGCCUUGUACACACCGCCCGUNAAGUNAUGAAAGUGGGUAGCACCCGAAGCCGGUGGCCCAACCAGUUCGCUGNNNGGAGCCGUCUNAGGUGAGAC
rnacentral:rRNA from 1 species